rnacentral:rRNA from 1 species
AUUGAACGCUGGCGGCAGGCCUAACACAUGCAAGUCGAGCGGCAGCGGGAAAGUAGCUUGCUACUUUUGCCGGCGAGCGGCGGACGGGUGAGUAAUGCCUGGGAAAUUGCCCAGUCGAGGGGGAUAACAGUGGGAAACGACUGCUAAUACCGCAUAGGCCCUACGGGGGAAAGCAGGGGACCUUCGGGCCUUGCGCGAUUGGAUAUGCCCAGGUGGGAUUAGCUAGUUGGUGAGGUAAUGGCUCACCAAGGCGACGAUCCCUAGCUGGUCUGAGAGGAUGAUCAGCCACACUGGAACUGAGACACGGUCCAGACUCCUACGGGAGGCAGCAGUGGGGAAUAUUGCACAAUGGGGGAAACCCUGAUGCAGCCAUGCCGCGUGUGUGAAGAAGGCCUUCGGGUUGUAAAGCACUUUCAGCGAGGAGGAAAGGUUGAUGCCUAAUACGUAUCAACUGUGACGUUACUCGCAGAAGAAGCACCGGCUAACUCCGUGCCAGCAGCCGCGGUAA